GCUCAGUAACACGUGGAUAACCUACCCUUAGGACCGGGAUAACCUUGGGAAACUGAGGAUAAUACUGGAUAGGCAAUUAUUCCUGCAAUGGUUUUUUGUUUAAAUGUUUUUUCGCCUAAGGAUGGGUCUGCGGCCGAUUAGGUAGUUGGUUAGGUAAUGGCUUACCAAGCCGCUGAUCGGUACGGGUUGUGAGAGCAAGAGCCCGGAGAUGGAACCUGAGACAAGGUUCCAGGCCCUACGGGGUGCAGCAGGCGCGAAACCUCCGCAAUGUGAGAAAUCGCGACGGGGGGAUCCCAAGUGCCAUUCUUAACGGGAUGGCUUUUCAUUAGUGUAAAGAGCUUUUGGAAUAAGGGCUGGGCAAGACCGGUGCCAGCCGCCGCGGUAACACCGGCAGCUCUAGUGGUAGCAGUUUUUAUUGGGCCUAAAGCGUCCGUAGCCGGUUUAAUAAGUCUCUGGUGAAAUCCUGUAGCUUAACUGUGGGAAUUGCUGGAGAUACUAUUAGACUUGAGACCGGGAGAGGUUAGAGGUACUCCCAGGGUAGAGGUGAAAUUCUGUAAUCCUGGGAGGACCGCCUGUUGCGAAGGCGUCUAACUGGAACGGUUCUGACGGUGAGGGACGAAAGUUAGGGGCGCGAACCGGAUUAGAUACCCGGGUAGUCCUAACCGUAAACGAUGCGGACUUGGUGUUGGGGUGGCUUUGAGCUGCUCCAGUGCCGAAAGGAAGCUGUUAAGUCCGCCGCCUGGAAGUACGGUCGCAAGACUGAAACUU
rnacentral:rRNA from 1 species